rnacentral:rRNA from 1 species
AGAGUUUGAUCAUGGCUCAGGAUGAACGCUGGCGGCGUGCCUAACACAUGCAAGUCGAGCGAUUUACUUCGGUAAAGAGCGGCGGACGGGUGAGUAACGCGUGGGUAACCUGCCCUGUACACACGGAUAACAUACCGAAAGGUAUACUAAUACUAGGUAAUAUACUUUUAUCGCAUGGUAGAAGUACCAAAGCUUUUGCGGUACAGGGUGGACCCGCGUCUGAUUAGCUAGUUGGUAAGGUAACGGCUUACCAAGGCGACGAUCAGUAGCCGACCUGAGAGGGUGAUCGGCCACAUUGGAACUGAGACACGGUCCAAACUCCUACGGGAGGCAGCAGUGGGGAAUAUUGCACAAUGGGCGAAAGCCUGAUGCAGCAACGCCGCGUGAGCGAUGAAGGCCUUCGGGUCGUAAAGCUCUGUCCUCAAGGAAGAUAAUGACGGUACUUGAGGAGGAAGCCCCGGCUAACUACGUGCCAGCAGCCGCGGUAAUACGUAGGGGGCUAGCGUUAUCCGGAAUUACUGGGCGUAAAGGGUGCGUAGGUGGUUUCUUAAGUCAGAGGUGAAAGGCUACGGCUCAACCGUAGUAAGCCUUUGAAACUGGGAAACUUGAGUGCAGGAGAGGAGAGUGGAAUUCCUAGUGUAGCGGUGAAAUGCGUAGAUAUUAGGAGGAACACCAGUUGCGAAGGCGGCUCUCUGGACUGUAACUGACACUGAGGCACGAAAGCGUGGGGAGCAAACAGGAUUAGAUACCCUGGUAGUCCACGCCGUAAACGAUGAGUACUAGCUGUCGGAGGUUACCCCCUUCGGUGCGCAGCUAACGCAUUAAGUACUCCGCCUGGGAAGUACGCUCGCAAGAGUGAAACUCAAAGGAAUUGACGG